rnacentral:lncRNA from 1 species
CAGACCUAACAGAAAUAAUACAUUUUUUUAAAAAAAAUCACUAAGACAACUGCUACCAAUGUAUUCAGAACAACUAAGGUCAGAAAGAACAUGUGAAAUGUGAAAAUUUUCUCUACAGGUGAAAUAAAUGUGUUUUAAGGAGAGAGAAGGGAUUAGAGAACACGCAAAUUGUAAUUCUGGAAAACUACAAACUUUUGAAAAGUACUAAACAUGGAAUUAGUAAUUUAUCAAAAAUUGCACCCACCCCUGAUUUUCUUUUGAGGGAAAAAUAAAAACAAUUUUUGAAGGGAAUGAAAAAGAUUUCAAACUGAAACUCAUUCUAACAAUAUUGUGUUUUUACUGAAAAAUACUAUUAGAGAUAAAAUUAAGUUAAAUUUCAGAUACUUUCCAUUUAUUUAUUUAUUUAUUUAGCUUUAGGCAGAAACGAUAUCUUUAUUUUAUUUUUUAUGUGGUGCUGAGGAGCAAACCCAGUGCCUCACGCAUGCCAGAUGAGUGUGCUACCACUUGAGCCAUAUCCCCAGCCAAGGUACUUUCCAUUUAAUGUGGGCAAAAUUACAAUGUUUAUAUAGCAAAUAUAAACUAGUAGUUUAUAUUCAUCUAUAAUAUAACUUUUUAGGAAAUGUUUACUGUCCUCAGUGCUCAAAAAUAAAUAGAAAUUUCAAUUUUUUAACUAGCUAAUUUUCAAUAUCUAGGAAUUAUUAUGGUAAUGUUAAAUAAAAGUUUAAUUCUGCUGAACUAAAUCUCAAAUAGAUUCAGAUUUUUUAAGCAUAUGAAAAUACCCAAUUUUUAAAAGUUUUAAAUUUUUAUAAUUUUUAUCAAUGUAAAACCAGUCAAAUAAUCACAAGAGAUACUUUGUAUCAGAAAAAAAAUCCCAUGAUGCACAAAUGAUACUCAAAGAUUAUGAUCAAGAAAGCAAUAAUUAUACUAAAGCAGAAAGAAUUUCUUUUGUUACCUCCAUUCCUUAUAUAUAGUUUUAUUGCAAGUCAUCUACAUAGAAAUAUUUAUCACAAUCUGAUAGGUAGAAAAGGUUUUUUAUUUUUUGCCUUCUAGAGCCCAAGCAAAUUUACUCAGUGUUCUUAGUAUGUUUCCUUUUAACAUUAUCUGAACCAUUGGUCAUAGGUUUGGGGACUGAUGAACCAGUACCAUUGGAAGAUGAUUUUGCUCCACAUUUCUUACCCUACAAUGAAAACUGUUGCUGCCAGCCAAAGAGCAGCUGACUCAAUAUAUGCUCAAAAGGAGCAAGAGUCA